GGGCACUUGAUAAGGGUUGUUGAUGGUAAAACAGGUAGAAGAAUGUCUGCGGCUAAGCCGAGGGCCACUUGAUAAGGGUUGUUGAUGGUAAAACAGAUUGGAGACUACAUAAGACUUUGACAGAUGGCGGGAAACCCUCAUGAACUGGAUAGAAGCCGGUAGAAGAAUGUCUGCGGCUAAGCCGAGGGCCACUUGAUAAGGGUUGUUGAUGGUAAAACAGGUAGAAGAAUGUCUGCGGCUAAGCCGAGGGCCACUUGAUAAGGGUUGUUGAUGGUAAAACAGGUAGAAGAAUGUCUGCGGCUAAGCCGAGGGCCACUUGAUAAGGGUUGUUGAUGGUAAAACAGAUUGGAGACUACAUAAGACUUUGACAGAUGGCGGGAAACCCUCAUGAACUGGAUAGAAGCCGGUA